GAUUAACGCUAGCGGCAGGCAUAAUACAUGCAAGUUGAACGGCAGCACAGGUAGCACUACUGGGUGGCGAGUGGCGCACGGGUGCGUAACACGUAUGCAACCUACCCUAUACAGGCGAAUAACCUUUAGAAAUGAGGGCUAAUACGCCGUAGUAUUACAGAUGGGCAUCUAUUUGUAAUUAAAGAUUUAUCGGUAUAGGAUGGGCAUGCGUCCCAUUAGUUAGUUGGUAAGGUAACGGCUUACCAAGACGAUGAUGGGUAGGGGAUCUGAGAGGACUUACCCCCACACUGGUACUGAGACACGGACCAGACUCCUACGGGAGGCAGCAGUAAGGAAUAUUGGGCAAUGGCCGCGAGGCUGACCCAGCCAUGCCGCGUGCAGGAAGACGGCCUUAUGGGUUGUAAACUGCUUUUAUACGGGAAUAAUAGAGUGUACGCGUACAUUUAUGCAGGUAGCGUAUGAAUAAGCAUCGGCUAACUCCGUG
rnacentral:rRNA from 1 species